AUUCGCUACUACCGAUUGAAUGGUUUAGUGAGGUCCUCCGAUUGGACCCGGUCCGGGCGGCGACGUCCGAGCCGGCGUCCGAGAAGACGAUCUAACUUGAUCAUUUAGAGGAAGUAAAAGUCGUAACAAGGUUUCCGUAGGUGAACCUGCGGAAGGAUCAUUA
rnacentral:ncRNA from 1 species